rnacentral:misc_RNA from 1 species
GUGCUGCAUGAUUUUCGCGAAGGCGUCGAGGUUGUACGCAAGGCAUCCUGGCUCUCGAUUACGAUUGUGAUUGCUUCGCUCGGAAACAUCACUCUUUCCGCGCCGUUCGCCAUCGCGCUUCCCUUCCUCGUCAAAGGUCAUCUACAUGGCGGGGUUGGCUCUCUCGGACUGAUCUAUUCGCUGCUCGCCGCCGGAUCGAUUGUGGGAACGAUACUCGGGACAGUCUGGCUUGAACGAACAUCCGGCCUGCGAGCGCGCGGCCUGUUGGCGUACGGCCUAUGGAUAGCCGGCGGAUUGUUGAUAGCCGUGUUCGGUUUGCCCGUGACCAUUUACGCCGUUGCGCCGGCUGCGUUCUUCAUCGAUGCUGG